rnacentral:rRNA from 1 species
UGGGGAAUUUUGGACAAUGGGCGAAAGCCUGAUCCAGCAAUGCCGCGUGUGUGAAGAAGGCCUUCGGGUUGUAAAGCACUUUUGUCCGGAAAGAAAUCCUUGGCUCUAAUACAGUCGGGGGAUGACGGUACCGGAAGAAUAAGCACCGGCUAACUACGUGCCAGCAGCCGCGGUAAUACGUAGGGUGCAAGCGUUAAUCGGAAUUACUGGGCGUAAAGCGUGCGCAGGCGGUUUGCUAAGACCGAUGUGAAAUCCCCGGGCUCAACCUGGGAACUGCAUUGGUGACUGGCAGGCUAGAGUAUGGCAGAGGGGGGUAGAAUUCCACGUGUAGCAGUGAAAUGCGUAGAGAUGUGGAGGAAUACCGAUGGCGAAGGCAGCCCCCUGGGCCAAUACUGACGCUCAUGCACGAAAGCGUGGGGAGCAAACAGGAUUAGAUACCCUGGUAGUCCACGCCCUAAACGAUGUCAACUAGUUGUUGGGGAUUCAUUUCCUUAGUAACGUAGCUAACGCGUGAAGUUGACCGCCUGGGGAGUACGGUCGCAAGAUUAAAACUUAAAUGAAUUGACGGGGUCAUAGCUGUUUCCU